AGUGAACGCUGGCGGUAGGCCUAACACAUGCAAGUCGAACGGCAGCACAGUAAGAGCUUGCUCUUACGGGUGGCGAGUGGCGGACGGGUGAGGAAUACAUCGGAACCUACUUUUUCGUGGGGGAUAACGUAGGGAAACUUACGCUAAUACCGCAUACGACCUACGGGUGAAAGCAGGGGAUCUUCGGACCUUGCGCGAUUGAAUGAGCCGAUGUCGGAGUAGCUAGUUGGCGGGGUAAAGGCCCACCAAGGCGACGAUCCGUAGCUGGUCUGAGAGGAUGAUCAGCCACACUGGAACUGAGACACGGUCCAGACUCCUACGGGAGGCAGCAGUGGGGAAUAUUGGACAAUGGGCGCAAGCCUGAUCCAGCCAUACCGCGUGGGUGAAGAAGGCCUUCGGGUUGUAAAGCCCUUUUGUUGGGAAAGAAAAGCAGCAGGUUAAUACCCCGCUGUUCUGACGGUACCCAAAGAAUAAGCACCGGCUAACUUCGUG
rnacentral:rRNA from 1 species